rnacentral:rRNA from 1 species
CGCUAAGGAGUGUGUAACAACUCACCUGCCGAAUGAAUUAGCCCUGAAAAUGGAUGGCGCUGAAGCGGGUGGCCGACACCACGCCGUGUGUCCGAGCUUUGUGUCACAUGAGUAGGAGGGCGUGGCGGGCGUGGCGAAGCGUGGGCGCGAGCCUGCGUGGAACGGUCCGCUAGUGCAGAUCUUGGUGGUAGUAGCAAGUAUUCAAGCGAGAACCUUGAAGGGCGAAGCGGGGAAGGGUUCCACGCGAACAUUGAUUGGGCGUGGGUGAGUCGUUCCUAAGCCGAGUGGCAAUUGCUAAGUAGCGGCGAAAGGGAAGCGGGUUGAAAUUCCCGCACACGGAUGUGGAGCGCGGUGACGCGACAUGGGGCGAACACGCUGGCGAUGGCGCUGGGCAGAGUUGUCUUUUCUGUUUGACCGAGUGUACGGGCGGUGUGGAAUCCGCUUGUCGGGAGAAACACGCGCGUACGGGCAGAGCGCCGGGGCUUUUCCGGCGUCCAGCUCGCCAUCGACGGCCCUUGAAACUUUGCCUGCUGGUUUGAGAUCCACGCCGUGGCGUACCGAUCACCGCAUCAGGUCCCCGAGGUGAACAGCCUCUGCUCGAUAUGAACAAUGCAGGUAAGGGAAGUCGGCAAAUUGGACCCGUAACUUUGGGAAAAGGGUUGGCUCUAGUGCUGCGUGGGAGAGGUUGUCUGUGUGUGGGGGCGGAGGCAGGGCGGCUUGGCGCGGGGCCUGGGCAACUGGGACCUGUUCUGGGCUGCCUUGUCACUGUUUCCGCCGCGGACGACGCCCACGGCAUGCAGCAGACUAGAACUGCAACGGGCAAAGGGAAUCCGACUGUUUAAUUAAAACAAAGCAUUGAGAAGGCCGUG